UACGUAGGGGGCUAGCGUUGUCCGGAAUCAUUGGGCGUAAAGCGCGCGUAGGCGGCCCGGUAAGUCCGCUGUAAAAGUCAAAGGCUCAACCUUUGAAUGUCAGUGGAUACUGCCAGGCUAGAGUCCGGAAGAGGCGAGUGGAACUCCUGGUGUAGCGGUGGAAUGCGCAGAUAUCGGGAGGAACACCAGUGGCGAAGGCGGCACUCUGGGCCGGAACUGACGCUGAGGAGCGAAAGCGUGGGGAGCGAACAGG
rnacentral:rRNA from 1 species